rnacentral:rRNA from 1 species
GGACGAACGCUGGCGGCGUGCUUAACCCAUGCAAGUCGAACGGAAAGGCCCUGCUUUUGUGGGGUGCUCGAGUGGCGAACGGGUGAGUAACACGUGAGUAACCUGCCCUUGACUUUGGGAUAACUUCAGGAAACUGGGGCUAAUACCGGAUAGGAGCUCCUGCUGCAUGGUGGGGGUUGGAAAGUUUCGGCGGUUGGGGAUGGACUCGCGGCUUAUCAGCUUGUUGGUGGGGUAGUGGCUUACCAAGGCUUUGACGGGUAGCCGGCCUGAGAGGGUGACCGGCCACAUUGGGACUGAGAUACGGCCCAGACUCCUAUGGGAGGCAGCAGUGGGGAAUAUUGCACAAUGGGCGGAAGCCUGAUGCAGCAACGCCGCGUGCGGGAUGACGGCCUUCGGGUUGUAAACCGCUUUCGCCUGUGACGAAGCGUGAGUGACGGUAAUGGGUAAAGAAGCACCGGCUAACUACGUG